AGAACGAACGCUGGCGGCAGGCCUAACACAUGCAAGUCGAACGCCCCGCAAGGGGAGUGGCAGACGGGUGAGUAACGCGUGGGAACAUACCUUUCGGUUCGGAAUAGCUCAGGGAAACUUGAAAUAAUACCGGAUACGUCCGAGGUGUAACAGCUUUGGAGAAAGAUUUAUCGCCGAAAGAUUGGCCCGCGUCCGAUUAGCUAGUUGGUGGGGUAAAAGCCUACCAAGGCGACGAUCGGUAGCUGGUCUGAGAGGAUGAUCAGCCACACUGGGACUGAGACACGGCCCAGACUCCUACGGGAGGCAGCAGUGGGGGAUAUUGGACAAUGGGCGCAAGCCUGAUCCAGCCAUGCCGCGUGAGUGAUGAAGGCCCUAGGGUUGUAAAGCUCUUUCGUCAGGGACGAUAAUGACGGUACCUGAAGAAGAAGCCCGGCUAACUUCGCGCCAGCAGCCGC
rnacentral:rRNA from 1 species